rnacentral:SRP_RNA from 1 species
UAUGGGCAGGAAUUAUCUGUCAAACCCCGCCAGGACCGAGAGGUAGCAACGGUAAGAUGGCUCUGAUUCGCUGCCCUUUUUC